AUCGUUCAUCUCUUUAACGCCUCUGAGUCAAUCAGUUUACAGCUACAAAGAGACGGAAGUAGGGAGCAAUCCCGAAGGAACGCGCC
rnacentral:ncRNA from 2 species